rnacentral:rRNA from 1 species
UACGAAGGGGGCUAGCGUUGCUCGGAAUCACUGGGCGUAAAGCGCACGUAGGCGGAUUGCUAAGUCAGGGGUGAAAUCCUGGAGCUCAACUCCAGAACUGCCUUUGAUACUGGCGAUCUCGAGUCCGGGAGAGGUGAGUGGAACUGCGAGUGUAGAGGUGAAAUUCGUAGAUAUUCGCAAGAACACCGGUGGCGAAGGCGGCGACCUGGGUCGAGACUGACGCUGAGGCGCGAAAGCGUGGGGAGCAAACAGG